GUGUCCAAUAGCAGUUAAUAGAAACCUAUGGAACAGCCAUCCUCACGUGUGUUGGGAUUGCUGAUUCAAACUUCCCUAUUUAUCCACAAAAUUUUGCUUAUGUCCAGAGUUCUAAAGCCAUUUUAUAAUACUCCAGUAUCCCUUUUCUACAGCCUUACUAAAAUAGCUACAAACAUAUUCCAAUGCAGUAUCCCUUUUCUACAGCCUUAUUAAAAUAGCUACAAACAUUUUCCAAUUCAGUUUCGCUUUCGUUGUAUAUCAAAGUUUUAUCCUACAGACCAAGAAACCAACUUGAGGUAAAUUACAUAGCUUUCCAUUUACCCUUUUUUCCUCAGGUGCUAAAUAAAGGCUCCAAAAAUGGAUACUGCUUUAGUAAUGUCUUUUAUUCUUAAACAUUUCUUUUGCUAGAUGUAAAGAUUUGGUGUUAACAAAAAUGGUUUUAAUAUGUAAAUAUGAAUGAAUGCCUUUAGUUUGCCUGUUUGUCUAUUAAGUCUGUUUCGUUUAUCCUCAAUAGAGGAGGAUCCUUUCAUAAUCUUGAAUACAUUUCAUUAGGAAUUGUUGCAUUAGGAAUUUUUAAAGUGAAAAUACAACUGUUUUCUGUCUUGGAUUAAUCCUGCUGCUGCUAUGAGAAACUGAAAAUCAAGAAUGUGAUGCACUUUUUACAUUACUAUAUACCAUACCUUUAUAAGUUGCUUUGAAUACCUUUACGGUAGCACAGCCACUAACAAAAGUGAAUGAAUUUAAAAUUUUUCUUCAGGAGGGAAUCAGUACAAAUAAACUAUUUAUGGUAUUGGCCUAUGAAGGACAGUAACUUAUGAAAAUAAAAAUUGUUAGUAUUACACUUUUUGGCCUUAAAAUGUCUUCUACUACUGAAAAUCUUUUAAAUCUUAGUUUUGUUUCUGUUCCCUCUCUCUGCCUCAAAAAGAGGAUUUUGGAAGAAUGGCUUAAAGGAAGUAUCAUUUGUUUGUUGCUGAUUUAUCUUUUAGAAAGAAAACAAUUGUCUACUAUAUAAGUUGGGGACUUUCUUGUUUGUAUACAGAGGAGAAAUAAUGCCAUCCCGAGCCAGUCAGAUUUAGUAUAAUCAAAUCAAUCAAAACUCAACUAUUCUGCUUCUUUAGUGUAUUUUUACUUAACAAAGAUAAACUUUAGUAGGAAUGCUACUUGACAAGAGGAAGUCAUUUCUCAAGCACAUACCCAAACUUGAAGGAGUCUGAACCCAAAAUAAUGGAGGAAAAAACACCAAAUGGGGUGGAGGAAUAUGAGAAAGAUACGUGGUCCAAAGCUAUCUGGUUAUAUUUUGAUGUUGCCAAUAUUGCCAAGCCAAAUUUUUAAUUUGCUUAUUUAAUGUUUGUUGGCCAGAGAUCUAUUUUUAUAUCAAUGUGCCUUGCAUGUAUAUUAAAAAAGUUUGGAAAGGCCAUGUAGUAAUGCCUAGGAUAGUUGACGGUUCUUACCACCUCACUAAUUUUUAUGCAGUAUGAAAUGCUCAUUCUAUCGCCCAACUGGUGCUCUCUGUUUAAAGUUAUAGGUCUUGUCACAAACUGGAACUAUUUUAUAAACUGGGGAAGUGAUUUAAUUUACUUUUUUUGUUGUUUCUUUUUUUGUUCUUAAUCUGUUAGUGGCUGUUCUGUAGUGGGAAAUAGUAAGAGGAUUCUUCGCUCCCUUACCCUACCCCCUCAGCACCUUCUUCAAGUAAUGUGAUGACACCAUUUCUUGUGUGCUUUGAAAAAAGUUUCAGCUUGCUGUCUCCUUUAGUGUUAUAAAAAGGUGUUAUAAAAAGCAUUGUUUGCAAAAUCUAGGGAGAUAAUGGAGUCCACUUUAAUUUGGAAUUCUAUGUGAGCUAUGAUCCCAAGUUACUGGCUCUUUCCAACUUAAAAAAAAUAUUGUAAAAGCACCUUGGCUUAGAAAAUUUUAAAUAUUUAUGUCUGCAACAAUUGUCUAAAAAUAAUGAACUGUGCAAUUCUUGUCAUUAAAAAAAGAAAAAAAAAAAGAUCUGAACUCUCCCUAAUGUGACUUGUUAGUUUCUUUGUAUUUCCUGCCAGUGUAAAUGUGAAAAGCUUUGCUUGCAUUACGUUUUAGAAAUGCAUUUUGCACACUCGAAUUUUGCUGAAGCUCCAUGAAAAGGUUAGAUCUAAGUAGAUGAAUAAAGCUAUGCACAUGUUUUGAAAAUUUAAUUUGUGUGUCAUUACCAAAAGUGACCUAUCCUUAUUACUUUGCUGUUUUUAGCUUUACCAUCUUUAGAAACAUGGCUCAAAGUAAUAGUUCUAGGCUAGUUCAUCAGUAGAACUAGAAGAGAGGAAAACUGGCACCUAUUUUAAUAAACUUCAGUUUAAAUGAGAGCUGGACUUGUAUCUAUUAAAGGGCUUUUCUUGAAACAGGGCAGUUUUAUCAGCUUUACAAACUUCUGGAUGCUCUCACUUCCUCGUGGAAACUUUGGUUUAUUUGAUCAAAUAGAAAUGGGAGGUAACUCAGAUAUGAGGGAAGGACCUUUGCCACAUGGAGUUCUGUGACAAUUCUGUGUUGUAAGCCUGGUUUAAAGGUAGGAUAAUCUUUUCCCUUUAUUGCUUUAGCAUAUGUUUGGUUUUACUGAAUGAAUGACGAGCUUAUAAUCAUUCAUCUAUUUAAAGAUCAAAGCACAGGUUAUUUUAAAGAUAAUGUGUAUCUUUUAAAAGUUGCCCAAGCGGAUUAGAAUAAAGUGAAGAAGUUGGGCGAAUUUGGUUAAAUUGCUGCAGUCUGCAUGUACUAAAUAGCUUUACUUCACAUGUAUGUGUACUUAAACAAUUGUGUAGAUGUACUGGCCAGGUUUGUCAAGUCAUCUUUUAAAAGAUUGUUUUGUAAUCUACUUAGGACUUUUAGAGAAGAGGCUAAAUAAGUUUAAGUAGAAGAUAAUAUUAAUGGUACUUUCCCCAUGCUCCUAGAUCUAAAAGAAAUAUUUCUGAUUUGUAAGUUUUUUCCAAUGUGUAGAAGAGGGUUACUUCUCUAUCAUCAAGUGUGCUUUUGAUGUAUGUUCUGUUGACUUUGAAAACAGCAAAAACCCUUCUUUCUGAAAGUGACAGUCAAAAACUAAAUCUAGUAGUCAAGAUUGCAAAGGUAGCCCAUCAUGCCUGGCCUAAAAAGUAAAAAAUGCAGGAGAGUAGUAGCGUCAUCUUAAGUUGGCCAUGGCUACUUCUCCGCGUCUGUCAGUAGUUCACUUAUGUUCAGUGUUAGAACAAACAUUGAAGGAGCAAAGUAAUUUCUGUGUCUUGUGUGCAUCAACACUUAGGAGCUGAGUUACCUCUUCUCGAUCUGCGGGAAAGGAUAAUUGGACUAUAAUUAUGUUGGAGGAUAUUUUUCUUUCCCUCUCCCAACUAUUUUUUUUCAGUGUUUUUUUUUUGCCCAGUCAAAAAGAUAGGCCUUUUCUAGAUAAAAGAACAGUGGCCAGAAAUUUACCCUUUUGCUAAUUGCUUAGGUAUUUGCCAUAGCUGUUUCUGAUGUCAUGGAUUCUGAGGAAGUGUCAGUUACAUGAUGAUCUUCCUUUAUUGAUGUCUUACUCCAUGUUCAGUGUUUUAAAAAUAUAAAUUACAAACACUCAACAUCCAUACCCAGAUUUACUUAUUUUAUCAGAAAAAAAACCUUGAGAAAUUUGUAGAUCAAAUUAAGAGACAAUAAGUGUACAUUGUUGAAUAAAAAAUUUUAAAGUUUCUGAGGUGUUUGUGUUAUCUUUUGUGUGCUUUUAAAAGUUAUAUACUGAAAACUAAGAUUGUGGGAUGUACAAAUUAAGUCUUAAGUGUACCAUGGUCAUAUGUCAUUGAUUUAAAGCAAAUCAUACAGAUGCUUAGAAUUGGCAUAUUUAUUUUAAAAUGACCUGUGAGAACAGCUAUCCUAUUCCUUAAUGCCCAUUGAUCCUUAAUGUUCUUCAAUUGGAAUAGGAAGCCAAAAUUAAACUAAGCAGUUAAGCAACUAGAUCUAAGUUGCCAAGAUUCUGAAUUUGUGACUUUAUGUUGAAAUACAUGGCAAUGCAUAUUUGAGAAACUUCCUAAGUUUGUAUAGCAUUGAUUUGUCACAAGUUGAAAAAAAUCGGUGCUAACAUCAACAUGUUAGAGUAGGGAAUGUGGGGAAGAGAUGUAAAAACAUUUACCAUAAGUGUGUUUGUUUGUCACUAUAUAGACUGAUACAUUUCAUAUGCUUUUAUGUUCUUUGAGUUAAGGAAGAAUUGUCAGUUGGCCUGCUGAGUGACUUGCAAGGAUACAAAGGGAAUUGGGGGUUUUAUUGAAGCUUGUCUUUAAAAAUUCUCAGCCCCAUAGGUGUGAUUUAUAAAGUAUGGUGGGGGACACCUGGGUGGCUCAGUGGUUAAGCGUCUGCCUUCAGCUCAGGGCAUGAUCCUGAAGUUCCAGGAUCGAGUCCCACAUUGGGCUCCCUGCGUGGAGCCUACUUCUCCCUCUGCCUAUGUCUCUGCCUCUCUCUGUCUCUCAUGAAUAAAUAAAUAAAAAUCUUAAAAAAAAA
rnacentral:lncRNA from 1 species